UACGGAGGGAGCUAGCGUUGUUCGGAAUUACUGGGCGUAAAGCGCGCGUAGGCGGCUUUGUAAGUUAGAGGUGAAAGCCUGGAGCUCAACUUCAGAAUUGCCUUUAAGACUGCAUCGCUUGAAUCCGGGAGAGGUGAGUGGAAUUCCGAGUGUAGAGGUGAAAUUCGUAGGUAUUCGGAAGAACACCAGUGGCGAAGGCGGCUCACUGGACCGGCAUUGACGCUGAGGUGCGAAAGCGUGGGGAGCAAACAGG
rnacentral:rRNA from 1 species